AUUGAACGCUGGCGGCAGGCCUAACACAUGCAAGUCGAACGAGUGGCGGACGGGUGAGUAAUGUCUGGGGAACUGCCCGAUGGAGGGGGAUAACUACUGGAAAAGGUAGCUAAUACCGCAUACUAUCGGAUGUGCCCAGAUGGGAUUAGCUAGUAGGUGGGGUAACGGCUCACCUAGGCGACGAUCCCUAGCUGGUCUGAGAGGAUGAACAGCCACACUGGGACUGAGACACGGCCCAGACUCCUACGGGAGGCAGCAGUGGGGAAUAUUGCACAAUGGGCGCAAGCCUGAUGCAGCCAUGCCGCGUGUAUGAAGAAGGCCUUCGGGUUGUAAAGUACUUUCAGCGAGGAGGCGUUACCCGCAGAAGAAGCACCGGCUAACUCCGUGCCAGCAGCCGCGGUAAUUC
rnacentral:rRNA from 1 species